GCGAACGGGUGAGUAAUGCUUCGGAAUCUGCCCAAUGGUGGGGAAUAACCACCCGAAAGGUCGGCUAAUACCGCAUAAGUCCUACGGGGGAAAGCAGGGGAUCGCAAGACCUUGCGCCGAUGGAUGAGCCGAAGUCGGAUUAGCUAGUUGGUAGGGUAACGGCCUACCAAGGCGACGAUCCGUAGCUGGUCUGAGAGGACGACCAGCCACACUGGGACUGAGACACGGCCCAGACUCCUACGGGAGGCAGCAGUGGGGAAUAUUGGACAAUGGGGGAAACCCUGAUCCACCGACGCCGCGUGUGUGAACAAGGCCUGCGGGUUGUAAAGCACUUUUAGUGGGGAUGAAAAGCUCAGGGCUAACACCUCUGGGUCUUGACCUAGCCCAGAGAAAAAGCACCGGCUAACUCUGUGCCAGCAGCCGCGGUAAUACAGAGGGUGCGAGCGUUAAUCGGAAUUACUGCGCGUAAAGCGUGCGUAUACGGUUAUGUAAGUCGGGUGUGAAAGCCCCGGG
rnacentral:rRNA from 1 species